AAUACAUACCGAUGUGCCGGUACAAAGCUGCUGCAUGUUGCAGCAUGAAUUUGCGAACACUUUUGCAGCAAGAAAGUAGCGAGUGCGAUGCUGCUUAGACAAUUCGUUGCCGUUUGCAUUUAUUGAGCGAAGAGAGCGGACUAGUUAGUUUAAGAAACUAGUAACUCAAGUAUUAUUAAGAGCGUGUCGAACAAAUUGAAACACCAACUGGAAACAUUUUAUGGCAAUCUCAUCGCACUUCGUUGGACUUGUCAACGAUUUUUCGAUUUGACUCAAGGUUAAUUGAGCCCAUUUGUGUUUUAUGCUAUAUAAAGGUUGGAUAUACAUAUCAUAUAACCUAUAAUCAAUUUCUUGGACAUAUGAUGUUAUAUUAUUCUUCAUGGUUACAUACACUUGUAACGUAUAUCAAACUUGAAUAUUUUCGAAUUGUUGCUGUAUCUCCUCAAAUGACUUAAGCUGCUCAUUAACGAUAAGGUAUGUGUUAAUUUAAGAACAAAUAGCAAACAACACUUAAUCAAUUUAAAGAGAUAUAUUUAUAUAAUAUUUAAAAGCAUAAUUGAUGGCAUCUUUACACUGUCAACAUUUAAACUUUCAAUAAUUCAUGUUAUACAUACCUACAUAUGCUUAUGUAUUUUCACAAUCUUCAGUAAAUUAAUAGCCCAUUGCAUGCGGUAAUGAGUGUUGCAGCGUUUAUUUACAUAACCGGCCAGGUGCACGAUUUAUUGUUUAAUGAAAUUUAUAAAAUUUCAUUUUAAUUGCUACAUUAAUUAAAAUUUUAAAUUACAUAAUAUCAAACCCGUACAA